GGAAAUGUUUAAUAAGCGACAUUAUUCAAUUCACAUAAAAAUCAAAUAAGAAAAUAAAUCCUACUUGCAAAAUGUUUACAACACAUGUUUCUCACGAUAACUGUAUUGAAACUGUAGAAAAACAAAUGAAAAAAAAUACAAGGAUUUCCACUGGCAAGUAUAUAUCUACCCAUCCUCCUACAGGGCAAUUGAGAUGGGACUUUCCCCUAAUUUAAGCAUAUGAGCUAUCAGAUGUAAAAGUCACAGUUUAUGUAGAAUGUUUUAGCUUUUCUUCAACAAGCUCAAUACAGCGAUAUAGAACUAACUCCACUGGGUUAAGAGCACAUACUGUGUCAAUUGCAAGUUGAUCAUAAUCAUUCUUGUUCUCUGUCAUAAUUCCAGUUACAAGGGUUCGAAGAGGCAGAAGCCACUCAUUGUAUGCCUUCUGUAAAUUUUUCUUAGACAGAACUUCAGUAUAAUUGGUUUUUCCUGUUUCAUUUUGACAAAUGUAAUUAAACAUAAUGGCGGAUUCAUAUACCCAAUCUUAAACUAUGUAAAAUCUUCAGAUGUUAAGGUCCACUGCGUUUACAGUGGCAGCUAUCCAAAAUUAAGUAUUAACUUCACUAAUCAUAUUUGUUCAGGGGCUCAACUACAAACUAUAAUAUUAAAAAGAAAAAUAAAAGUAUCUGGAUUAACUUAAAUUAAUUAACUGAACAAAAUACUGGUAAAAUCCUCUGUAUUUCUCUAGCUAAAAUGACCUUAAUCAAGACCAAAAUAUGUUUUAUUCAAACGAAAAUAAAAUCUAAAUGAGACAAUCAUUACCUGCUGAUUCUGUUAUCAAUAUAAAUCUGUACAGGUUGAGUGCAGCUAGAACCGCAUCUCCAUGCUCAGGAAAAGGUGGAGGUCCUCCCUCUGGAGGCCUCAAAACUAUCUCCACCAAUUUGAGCACCUCAGCAGUCCAUAUUGAAGAGAUUGAACUCCCUUGAUUUUCGGUUUGUGGGGCUUCAUCUUUCUUUGUUGAUAUUCUUUGGAAACUUUCCCUGUGCAACUCACCUCUAACUAGAUCUAAAAGAAUUGCUGUCUAUAUAGAGUUGUAAUAUCUAUCUCAGGUAAAAAUUUUGCCUCUGGUUUGAAAAAAUGUUGAAACUCAUAAAUCAUACAAAACAGCAUGUAAGGACUUACCAUAGAGGAAGAAUCACUAUUUGUAAUCAAAGCUUUUAAAAUAUCAAACCUAUCGGAAGUUGGAGUAUCAGCAAGUACCUGGUUAAUUUUAUAACCUGAUCAAUUAAUUGGACGCAAGUCAAAUAAUUUGAAAGCUUCACAAAGGAAAGAGGGUCAAGGACCAGUAUGUAGUUCACUUUUCUAGAGUAGUACACAGUAAUUUCAUAUUGAUAACCGAAGGAUCUCCAGGAUCUAAUAUGCAGGAACUUAAGGAGGUCAGUGAAAUACCAGUUCGUUGGCUCACUGGCACCUCCAAAACCUUACCCUCUUCAAUGCCUCAUAGGCAUUCUUCCUUAACUCAGUAUUUGGUGCAUAAAUGAUGACCUUUGUAAUGACCUGUGAAGCAGCACAGAGACUGGGCAAAAAAAUAGAGCAGUCAGUGAGUCCAUCAUUUCUUGUGACACUUCCAUUUGUAAUGCAAAGCAGGAAGUUAAUGGCAUGCUUCUUCAAUUCCCAUAGCAUAUCAGUAGAGGCAAGUAUAUACUUUAACAUGCCUACUGCUUGCCACCUGUUAAUUUGGUUACUUUGAAGUUCACCCAUGAUAAAAGAAAUAUCCCCUCCAGCAGCCUGAGUAACAUCAUCAUAUAUAUAACCCCAGAUCACUGAAAGAGAUGCGCCAUGCUUGAUGUAGGAUAAACAACUCAUAUAAUCAUCUUCCACCUCUCCAACAAUAAUGUUAGUCAUUACAUCAACAUCAGAUCCAGUUAUUAAACCAAGAUAUGAUAAAUCACAAUAUGGGAGAAAGUUGGAAAGCUGUGACACCAGAGGAAGAUAGCUUGACACCUUAUCUCCUUCACUGAAUGAAACAAGAGCCAUGACUUGUAAAACAUAUAAACCAAGCAGAGCACGGAGCUUUUCGUUUACUCUGCCUUCAAAUUUUGCACACACUGCCCGUAUGGAAUCAGCAAUGCCUAUAGCUCUGCAAAACAAAUUCAUGCAUUCUGUAUCUUCAUCACCCAGCUCUGAACAUGCAGCCUUUAACACAUUUAGGAUAACGGGAAUUGCUACUUUUACUUGCUCAAAGUGACGCCUUUGCAGGGAAAUGAAUACUGGAAAAGCAAAAUAAUAAGAAAUUGAAUCCAACAGGAUUAAGAACGUCAUUUAGUGGAUCAAUAACACAAAUCAACACAUCCAUGACUCUAGCUUUUUGCAAUUGAAAAAAGAUAUUAGAUAAUGGCUUAACAAUAAUCAAUCCACGUAAGUAUUAAAUUUUGUUCCCUAAUACUUGUGACAUUUAGCUGCUAAACUAUGUUAAGUGAAACUUUGUCCCUAAAAUUUAGCACAAAUAUUUCACUGAUAUUGUUGCUCAAACCCCAUAUUUGGCAAAUGAGUCAAUGAAAUAAAAUAUAACAGAAGAUAAAUGCAUAUGAAGGUGUACAACAUGAUAAUGUAAGCAAGAACUUGAUUGAAGUACAUUUAAAAAUGACAUGCACAUUUAAGGGUCAAUAGCACAUUAGAAAUACUAUUUAGUUCAUACACUCAGACAAAAAAACUAUAACCUUUUGAGAGCCCUCUUAGAAUAGAAGCAACAUAGCCAGAUGCAUAAAUCGGCCUAUCUGUAGCACUCAAAGCCUGAUUCAAUAAAAGCUAUACAUCAGGAGUGAAAUAGAACCAUAAGGACAAAAGCUUAAUGCAAAAAGAGCAAUUCCAAUGCAUUUUCAUAACAGAUCCUUCAACAAUGAUGAUAAAAAAAACACAAGGAAUUGGAAUGCACCUUAUAUUAACUUCCAUAAGUACAGAAAUAGGAUACAUCAUGCACGAUAACUAUCACCAAAAACCCACAGUAAGUUACUAUAGAACCACAAAAUGAUUGCUUCCAAAUACUAUAUCUUAUCCUUCUUCACUAUGCAAAUCAGGAGGCACCUUAAUUUGUUAGGGAUAAGCAAACCUGAGAAUAUUCAGAAUUGAAGAGGCUUUUACUUUCACCUGAGGGACUGUCUUAAUAAGUUUAGAAGUUGCUAGGUUAUGAAAUUCCAGGAAUUUAAAAGACUGUAAAGGAGAUUUUACAUUUCACUAUCUAGGAAUACAAGACAAGCAAGCAUUCAUUAUUUGAAAGGUACCAGAGCCUAUGAGAAAUAGUUAUGCAAAUCUUCUUCUCGCACUUUCUCCCUAACUCCCACCAGUGCCACUCGAUUCAAGGUCAAGUAGUAGUAAAAAUACCACAAGAGUGAUGUUAAAGGAACGUUGAUUUCUAAAAAACAAUAACCCAAGAUAUUGUGAAUAUGCACCUAUAUAUUAUAGUACUAUAUUCAAAAUCAAAAUCUGCAUCUUCCAACCGUAUUAUUAAGGAAUCCUCGAGAUUUUCGCUUAGCAAGAAGGGAAAACCCACUUGUCAAAUCAGUACAAAGAAGUACUGAUUCCCAUUAGAUGAAGUAAACAAACUACAAUUACAGUUGAUUAACCACAGCUUCAGAAAACAGAUUUAAGCAUUAACCGAACAGAUUGAUUUAAAAUUUGAACUAAUGUCUACAAAUUCACGAACAAAAACCAGCAGGAUGACCGUUAAAUUAAACAAAUAAGUUUAAAUAUCGUACCCCGCAAAGAAUUGAAAGCAUAUCGCGUGGACUACAUAUCUCUAUAAAACGAUCAAUAAUUCUAUCAGCAAUCUCCAAGCAUCUACUUGACAAGCCUGCAAACUUUGAAGCCACCUUCGGCAACUCGAAGGAAAGUGCAUCAAUAACCUCCUGGUCUAAAGUAGGAGAAAGCAAAAAUCUUUGGAUCUCGUAGAGAACUUCUAAUGCAUUGUUUUGUGCAUCUUCGUCUUCAGCGUCAGCUAAAGCAGAACCCGAGAUUGUUUCGAGGAAAUCGACUAACUCCCACACUGAACUUCCAUCUCCACCUUGAAUUGAUUUGGAACAAGAGCAUAUGAUUUCUUGAAGACGAAGAACAAGAGGAUGAGCAGAAGGAGCGUCGCGACGCUCUGUGUUUUCUGUAGACAUGGAUACUGACUAGAAUCCACACUCUACAGUUACCAAGAUUAGGUGGUUGUUGUAAUGCAAGAGAACAAGAAGGUGAGAAAUCUACUACGGACUGGAAGAUCCAUUCAGCAAUCUAUUUCUAUCUGGACUUCUUGUUAGCGACUGAGGAAACUCGGAAUCGACCCAGCGAUAAUAUUGGGUAAAUUACUGUAAGGUCACUAGAUUUUCAUAAAAUUUAUUAAUUAAUCUCUAAAAUUCUUACGAAUGAGGUGGAUCGGGGACAGAGAUCACUCCAAUCCCCAACUCAUAAGAGUUUAGGGUCGAGGAAAGGAGAAGCGGGGCAGGGCAGGGCAGGGCGGAGGGGGUUUCUUAGAAGAAGUUUUUUUUUUAUUAUUAUUUAUUAUAUUUUAUUGUUUCUUUCUUCUCUAACUCACCCAUUUCACCUUAUUGUCAUUUCUACAGGCGACUUAACCAUCCCACCACACCUCUCUUUAUUGUCAUGUCCUCUAUGUGCAUGCAUCAGCCAAUGAGAUAGCAAACCUUCCUCAGAAGGUGGCCGUAACGAUGGUGGUUAGGGUUGUCAUGAAGAGAGGUGAAGGUGUGAACGGUCGACAUGAUCGACAUCAUGAAAGCCUCUGCUUUACCUCCAUAUUGACCUCAACCUCUUUUCUGUUGGUAAGGCCUAACAUUCUAAAAAUCACACUCUAUG
rnacentral:misc_RNA from 1 species